GAUGAACGCUGGCGGCGUGCCUAAUACAUGCGAGUCGAGCGAACAGACGAGGAGCUUGCUCCUCUGACGUUAGCGGCGGACGGGUGAGUAACACGUGGAUAACCUACCUAUAAGACUGGGAUAACUUCGGGAAACCGGAGCUAAUACCGGAUAACAUGUUGAACCGCAUGGUUCAACAGUGAAAGACGGUCUUGCUGUCACUUAUAGAUGGAUCCGCGCCGCAUUAGCUAGUUGGUAAGGUAACGGCUUACCAAGGCAACGAUGCGUAGCCGACCUGAGAGGGUGAUCGGCCACCCUGGAACUGAGACACGGUCCAGACUCCUACGGGAGGCAGCAGUAGGGAAUCUUCCGCAAUGGGCGAAAUCCUGACGGAGCAACGCCGCGUGAGUGAAGAAGGUCUUCGGAUCGUAAAACUCUGUUAUUAGGGAAGAACAAAUGUGUAAGUAACUAUGCACGUCUUGACGGUACCUAAUCAGAAAGCCACGGCUAACUACGUG
rnacentral:rRNA from 1 species